AAAGAAAUUUACAAAAAAAAUAAAUACAAAAUACAUUUCUACUUGGUUGUAACAUGCACAUUUCUUUUUAUAAGAAUUCAGUAAGCAUGCUAAACAAAGAAAAAAAAAGAAAAGAAAUUCAACAAAAAGAAACCACAUCUAAGUCAGAGGCCUUUAUAUACAAAGACGUUUAGCUGUUAAAGUCUAUGAUUCUUGUACAUUUAUUCACAGACCAUGACAUUUUUCUAGGUCUAAACUGGGCAUUGUGUACACAGUCUGCAUUUAUGCUGAGACAUUAGAAGACAGAAGAUGAGUAAAGGCAAUACAUCUGCUUUACUGUACUGUAGUUUAUGGGAAAUUCUGGAAGUGGAUCUUUAUAUUUGACUAUUCGUUCCUGUAACCAAUAACAGAUCAGAGUUGUGAUUUUCAGGCCCAAAACUGAGGCAAUUUCAUAGAACACAAGAAAUUUUUAUUGUAGAUUUUCUCCCUCUGGUCAUUUACCAACGCCCCGCACUAGCUAGCUUUUCUCCAUCACACAACAGCUACCAACCCUGAACGGUAAAGGCUACCAUGUGCUUCCACCAAGACACGUUAAGCCACUGUACCUUUCCAGCUGCUGCUCAUGCAACUGUGCAUCACAGGGCAGCUGAGCAGUUCUUAUACACACAGGAGCUAAAAGAUUCACAUGAUUGGUCAGUGUCACUCUGUCAGGGGAGGGGGUAACACCAUACCUCCCACUUAGACAGCACAGGUAUCUGGGCUCUGCUAAACUUAAUCUGAUUUGUUGGUUUUGAGAGUUAGGCUCUGGUAAAUUAAAUCUGAUUGGUUGGUGUUGGGGUCUACACUCUGGCAGACUGAACAUGAUUGGUGUUGGAGUUUAGGGUCUGAUAGACUGAAUCUGAUAAGUUGGUGUUGGAGUUUAGACUCUGGUACACUGAAUCUGAUUGGUUGGUGUUAGAAUCUAGAUUCUGGUAGACUGAAUCUGAUUGGUUGGUGUUUGGGUCUAAACUCUGGUAGACUGAAUCUGAUUGGUUGGUGUUGGGAUUUAGGCUUUGGUAAACUGAAUCUGAUUGGUUGGUGUUGGGAUUUAGGCUUUGGUAGUCUGAAUCUGAUUGGUUGGUGUUGGGAUUUAGGCUUUGGUAGUCUGAAUCUGAUUGGUUGGUGUUGGGAUUUAGGCUUUGGUAGACCGGAUGCAUUAUGGUGUUCUGAAUCUGAGGUGGAUCAUUUUCAUAAUCAGCAGUCUGAAAUAAAUAGAGAUAAACAGAUCAUAGAAAAAAAUCAUCCCAACAUCAAAAUUAAGACAGAAGAUUUUGAAGCAAAACCAUUGGACACACAUCUAAUAAUGGAUUAAUG
ensembl:lncRNA